rnacentral:tRNA from 1 species
GCCCCGGUAGCUCAGUUGGUAGAGCACUGGCCUGAAGAGCCUGGUGUCGCCCGUUCAAUCCGGGCCUGGGGCACCA